AAUAUCGUAACCAAUGAGGUUUAUCCGAGGUGCGAUUAUUGCUAGUUGAAAACUUUACCAAUACCCCGCCUUGUGGACGUGAAAAACCGUCCACUAUGGCAAUUUUUGGAAGG
rnacentral:snRNA from 1 species